GUCCUUUAGAAAAAAAUUAAAGGUCUAAUCUGCCCAAUGAUGUUUGAAUGGCCGCGGUAACUUGACCGUGCAAAGGUAGCAUAAUUAUUAGUCUUUUAAUUGAAGGCUUGAAUGAAAGAUUGGAUGAAAAAUAAACUUUAUUAAUAAAUAUUAUUUAAUUUAUCAUUUAAGUAAAAAUUCUUAAAUAUGUAAGUGGGACGAGAAGACCCUAUAGAGUUUUAUAUUUAUUUUUAUUAUGAAUUUUAAGAAUCAAUAUUUUCAUAAUAUAAAUAAAUAUUUUAUUGGGGUGAUAUUAAAAAUUACUGAACUUUUAAUUAACAUUUCAUUAAUAUAUGAAUUUUUGAUCCAAAAUAAUUUUUGAUUAUAAGAUUAAAUUACCUUAGGGAUAACAGCGUUAUUAAUUUGAAGAGUUCAAAUCGAUAAAUUAGUUUGCGACCUCGAUGUUGGAUUAAGAAUAAAUUUUGAAGAAGUAUUUAAGAUUGUAGGUCUGUUCGACCUUUAAAUUCUUACGUGAUCUGAG
rnacentral:rRNA from 1 species